rnacentral:rRNA from 1 species
GGUAGCAUAAUAAUUAGUUUUUUAAUUGGGAACUUGUAUGAAUGGUCGGACAAAAGAAAAUCUGUCUACUACUAUAAUAGUAAAAUUUGACUUUUAAGUGAAAAGGCUUAAAUUGUUCAGAGGGACGAUAAGACCCUAUAAAGCAUUUUGCUGGGGCGGCAUAGGUAUAAAUAUUAACUGCUUAGUAGAAAUACAAUAAUAGUUGGAAAGAUCCUUUUUAAAGAUUUAAGAACAAGUUACUUUAGGGAUAACAGCGUUAUUUUUUUUGAGAGUUCUUAUCGAAAAAAAAGUUUGCGACCUCGAUGUUGAAUUAAAUUGUCUAUAUAGUGCAGCAGCUAUAUAAGAGGGUCUGUUCGACCUUUAAAUUUUU